UUCAUGUGCUGAUGCUAUCAAUAACUGUGCAAAUUACGGAACUGCAGUCUGUACCGAUCCACAAUACAGCGCCUGGGUCUCUAAGAACUGUGCUCACUUCUGCAACAAGUGUGGAACAAUGACUGGUACAGGAACAGCGAUGACUGGAACAG